ACGAGGGACUUAAAUAUUUGAGUGCACUCUCUGAAAAGAGAGAUGUAGAAUGCCGUAAAUUCAAGGAAACCAUAACAGGUAGAGCUGAUGGCAAUCUUGAGCCAAGCCUCUGAAAAAGAGGAAGGUGCAGAGACUAGACACGGCACUCCUAAAGGAGACAAUUCCUAUGGAGAAGGAAUAGUCCAGACCACAAAAAGCAGUGCGAU
rnacentral:ncRNA from 1 species